GUGGGUGUGGCGGAGUGGUUGUCGAGCUUGACCAAAAAUCAUGUGGGUUUUGCCCGCGCAGGUUUGAACCCUGCUGCUCACA
rnacentral:tRNA from 1 species